GACGAACGCUGGCGGCGUGCUUAACACAUGCAAGUCACGGGGGGUCCGCAAGGACAACCGGCGAACGGGUGCGUAACACGUGAGCGACCUGCCGAUCUCUGGGGGGAUAGCCGGCCCAACGGCCGGGUAAUACCGCAUACGUUCUUUCCGGGGCAUUCCGGGAAGAGGAAACCUCCGGGGGGGAUCGAGGGGCUCGCGGCCUAUCAGCUCGUUGGCGGGGUAACGGCCCACCAAGGCGACGACGGGUAGCUGGUCUGAGAGGAUGGCCAGCCACAUUGGGACUGAGAGACGGCCCAGACUCCUACGGGAGGCAGCAGUGGGGAAUCUUGCGCAAUGGGCGAAAGCCUGACGCAGCGACGCCGCGUGGGGGAGAAGGCCUGG
rnacentral:rRNA from 1 species